rnacentral:rRNA from 1 species
UACGAGGGGUGCAAGCGUUGCUCGGAAUUAUUGGGCGUAAAGGGUAGGUAGGUGGUCUCAUUUGUCUGGGGUGAAAGCCUUGAGCUUAACUCAAGAAGUGCCCCGGAAACGGUGAGACUGGAGUCCUGGAGAGGGUCGUGGAAUUCCCGGUGUAGCGGUGAAAUGCGUAGAUAUCAGGAGGAACACCUGUGGCGAAGGCGACUCACUGGACACGUAUUGACGCUGAGGUGCGAAAGCGUGGGGAGCAAACAGG